UACGUAGGGUGCGAGCGUUGUCCGGAAUUAUUGGGCGUAAAGAGCUCGUAGGUGGCGGGUCACGUCGGGUGUGAAAGCCCGGGGCUUAACUCCGGGUCUGCAUUCGAUACGGGUCUGCUGGGGUCCGGCAGGGGAGACGUGGAAUUCCUGGUGUAGCGGUGAAAUGCGCAGAUAUCAGGAGGAACACCGGUGGCGAAGGCGGGUCUCUGGGCCGGUACCGACGCUGAGGAGCGAAAGCGUGGGGAGCGAACAGG
rnacentral:rRNA from 1 species